rnacentral:lncRNA from 1 species
GGCGUAAGGCGAUACUUUCUUAUCUUAGAGUUUGAGAGUAUUUAAUUUAUGUCGAGCAUUUACAGAUCGAUUAACUUGGAUCUCGAUCCUAUAUAUAUUAUUCUAUAGGAUACGCCAAAGAAUCUAGAGGAUAUAACUUCUACCUUGCUAAAGAACAAGAGUUGUUCGAUAUUCUUUUUGAAAAAAAGAGUACCUUAGUGAA